UCAAGCUAUCGACUUGGUGAAUUGAGAUUCACCACCCGUAGCCACGUCAACCCCAUUCGCUUCUCCUCAGCUUGCCAACAAACAGAGACCUUGACCACAGAAUUCAGCCACGCCCUUGCAUUAACUUGCAAGGUGUCAUGAACAGGUGAAGACUUCUCACGCUAAAGACACGAAUCCACGGAGCUGUCUUCUCCUUCUGCUGCCACGAACUUUGAAGAAAAGUUGACCAAGAUAGUCAACAGGCGGAGAAGCCGAAGCAUAGAAGAAGACCGUCCCUCAUUUUUCCUUCACCUCACGAUUUCUUUCGUCCAUCAGCAUCUGCAACGAAGAAACAUCUUCAUCCAGACUUUCACAGCUUCGUUUUUGCCUUGCUCCUUGACGCUGGCCGCUUGCACCACCUCGCUGCACCGCCAUCUCGCUUUAUUCUUGUUGCCGACCAGAGACCUCACAGCUUUGUCGUCGUUCUGCUUGCGUCGUCUUGCCACUCCGCCACUAGCUCGCACCACAGCCCGCACCACCGAGGAUUCGAGGCAAGUGGAAGUCCUAUUCUUCUAUACUAUGCGGUGCUUCCGCUACUUGGGAUUCCAUUCGAGGAAUCGACAAAUUUGGGCUCGAAUGCGUCGAGUUGCCGUUGUAUCAUGUUGCUUCUUGUCGGUUAAAGCUAAGUUUGAUCUUGACUCGUGUAGUCGUGUACGGUGACGACCGUCGACACGGUCAAUGUUGGUUUUGGGUUGUAAGGCUGUGAACCGCGUCAACCAAGCUUUCAUCUAGCGAGCUGUCAACGAGCCUUCUUUAGGGGGAUCUAGAUCUACAAUCCGGUCGGAAAUGAUUGCCGCUAAGAUGCCCUUAUUCUUCGAGCUUUCUCCCAACGAGCCAUUAACAAGCCUUCUUCAGGGGGGAUCCAGAUUUGCAGUCUGGUAAUAGAUGACACUAUUUUUGUUGGGUUGUUCAAUGCAUCACCUUAUGUUGGUUUUGGCCAAUUUGAUAGCAAAUCGUUAACCCAUCAAAUUUUGCCAAGUUAGAGGUGAUUGCCACCAAGAUGCCCUUGUUCUUCAAGACAUAUUUGAAACUUUUAUCUCUUCCCCUAUGCUAUUCUCCUGAUAGGCCCAGAAAGAGGAAAUGUUGAGAUACACCAAAUGGCUCUGUCAACCGAGCUUUCUUCUAGCGAGCCGUCAACAAGCCUUCUUUAAGGGGCAUCUAAAUUUGCAGUCCGGUAAGAGAUGACUCUAUUUUUAUUGGGUUGUUCAAUGCAUCAACUUUUGUUGUUGUUCUGGCCAAUUCAACAGCAAAUGGAGGUAAGAGAUGACUAUUUUGGGUUGUUCAAUUCGUCAACUUUUGAUGUUGUUCUCAUCGAUUUGACAACAAAUGAUUAACUCCAUCAAUUUUUUCCGGGUUGGAGAUGAUUACCGCUAAGAUGCUCUUAUUCUUCGAGCUUUCUUCUAGUGAGCCGUUAACGAGCCUUCGUCAGGGAGGAUCCAAAUUUGCAAUCUGGUUGGAGAUGAUUGCCACCAAGCUACCCUUGUUCUUGAGACAUUUGAAGCUUUUACCUCUUCCAAGCUCUUCUUUCGACAGGCCUAGAAAUGUCAGUUUUAGCACUAGAUUAGAAUUGGGAUAGUCCCAUGAAGGU